GGAGCGAGUGGCGAACUGGUGAGUAACACGUGGGUAACCUGCCCCGAAGCGGGGGAUAACAUUUGGAAACAAGUGCUAAUACCGCAUAAUUAGUUGGAACCGCAUGGUUCCAACUUGAAAGAUGGCUCUGCUAUCACUUUGGGAUGGACCCGCGCCGUAUUAGUUAGUUGGUGAGAUAAAAGCCCACCAAGACGAUGAUACGUAGCCGACCUGAGAGGGUAAUCGGCCACAUUGGGACUGAGACACGGCCCAGACUCCUACGGGAGGCAGCAGUAGGGAAUCUUCCACAAUGGACGAAAGUCUGAUGGAGCAACGCCGCGUGAGUGAUGAAGGUUUUCGGAUCGUAAAACUCUGUUGUUAAAGAAGAACAAGUGUUAGAGUAACUGUUAACACUUUGACGGUAUUUAACCAGAAAGCCACGGCUAACUACGUGCCAGCAGCCGCGGUAAUACGUAGGUGGCAAGCGUUGUCCGGAUUUAUUGGGCGUAAAGCGAGCGCAGGCGGUUUUGUAAGUCUGCUGUGAAAGCCCUCAGCUCAACUGAGGAAGUGCAGU
rnacentral:rRNA from 1 species